rnacentral:rRNA from 1 species
GACGAACGCUGGCGGCGUGCUUAACACAUGCAAGUCGAACGGAAAGGCCCUGCGUUUGUGGGGUGCUCGAGUGGCGAAAGGGUGAGUAACACGUGAGUAACCUGCCCUUGACUUUGGGAUAACUUCAGGAAACUGGGGCUAAUACCGGAUAGGAGCUCCUGCUGCAUGGUGGGGGUUGGAAAGUUUCGGCGGUUGGGGAUGGACUCGCGGCUUAUCAGCUUGUUGGUGGGGUAGUGGCUUACCAAGGCUUUGACGGGUAGCCGGCCUGAGAGGGUGACCGGCCACAUUGGGACUGAGACACGGCCCAGACUCCUACGGGAGGCAGCAGUGGGGAAUAUUGCACAAUGGGCGGAAGCCUGAUGCAGCAACGCCGCGUGCGGGAUGACGGCCUUCGGGUUGUAAACCGCUUUCGCCUGUGACGAAGCGUGAGUGACGGUAAUGGGUAAAGAAGCACCGGCUAACUACGUG